GUACACUCCUGCGGGAGGCAGCAGUGAGGAAUAUUGGACAAUGGGUGGAAGCCUGAUCCAGCCAUCCCGCGUGCAGGAAGACGGCCCUAUGGGUUGUAAACUGCUUUUAUCUGGGGAUAAACCUACUUACGUGUAAGUAGCUGAAGGUACCAGAAGAAUAAGCACCGGCUAACUCCGUGCCAGCAGCCGCGGUAAUACGGAGGGUGCAAGCGUUAUCCGGAUUUAUUGGGUUUAAAGGGUCCGUAGGCGGACUAAUAAGUCAGUGGUGAAAUCCGACAACUUAACUGUCGAACUGCCAUUGAUACUGUUAGUCUUGAGUAAGGUUGAAGUGGCUGGAAUAAGUAGUGUAGCGGUGAAAUGCAUAGAUAUUACUUAGAACACCAAUUGCGAAGGCAGGUCACUAAGUCUUAACUGACGCUGAUGGACGAAAGCGUGGGGAGCGAACAGGAUUAGAAACCCCAGUAGUCCC
rnacentral:rRNA from 1 species